GGGGCCCUGGGCUCUGGGGUAGCUGUGCCUCCCAAGCCCCCCCUCUCGCUGUCGGACACUCUGUUUCUCCAGUCUGUUCGGGACAUCCGUUCCCCGGGCGGGGUGCCCACCACGUGGGUGGGUUUUCCCCCCCGCCACCGAGCGCGGCUUCCCUCCGUUUGACCCUCGGGACGAGGGUGCGGCGGGUCCCGCUCCCCCCGGAAACGCACAUCUCGUACGUUGUGUGUUGCAGCUGCACCACGGACCGCCUCUCCCACCCGGGAGCGGGCAGGUUCCGCCGGCACGAUCGGACGAGGGUGGUCACCCCAGACCUCCGACCGCCGCCUCACCCAGGAGACGGGCCACCCGGGUCGCCCACGGAAUUGACGGAUAGAGAGCUCUUGCUCUCGGGCUGUCCCGGCCAGGUCCCGUCCCGCUCGAAAAGUCGGGGCGCGCGGAAGGUGCGUCGAGGGUGCGCCGCCGAGGUCUAGCGGGUGUGCCCGGCAUCGGGUCUUCCUCCCUGGCAGAGCUCCGACCCCCACACGGAGCGCGAGGUGCAGC
rnacentral:misc_RNA from 1 species